ACACAUGCAGUCGACGGUAACAGGAAGCAGCUUGCUGCUUCGCUGACGAGUGGCGGACGGGUGAGUAAUGUCUGGGAAACUGCCUGAUGGAGGGGGAUAACUACUGGAAACGGUAGCUAAUACCGCAUAACGUCGCAAGACCAAAGAGGGGGACCUUCGGGCCUCUUGCCAUCGGAUGUGCCCAGAUGGGAUUAGCUAGUAGGUGGGGUAACGGCUCACCUAGGCGACGAUCCCUAGCUGGUCUGAGAGGAUGACCAGCCACACUGGAACUGAGACACGGUCCAGACUCCUACGGGAGGCAGCAGUGGGGAAUAUUGCACAAUGGGCGCAAGCCUGAUGCAGCCAUGCCGCGUGUAUGAAGAAGGCCUUCGGGUUGUAAAGUACUUUCAGCGGGGAGGAAGGCGAUAAGGUUACUAACCUUGACGAUUGACGUUACCCGCAGAAGAAGCACCGGCUAACUCCGUGCCAGCAGCCGCGGUAAUACGGAGGGUGCAAGCGUUAAUCGGAAUUACUGGGCGUAAAGCGCACGCAGGCGGUCUGUCUAGUCGGAUGUGAAAUCCCCGGGGCUUCAGCCUGGGAACUGCAUUUCGAAACUGGCAGGCUAGAGUCUUUGUAGAGGGGGG
rnacentral:rRNA from 1 species